rnacentral:rRNA from 1 species
UACGGGGGGGGCAAGCGUUGUUCGGAAUUACUGGGCGGAAAGGGCUCGUAGGCGGCCAACUAAGUCAGACGUGAAAUCCCCAGGCUCAACCUGGGAACUGCGUCUGAUACUGGUUGGCUUGAAUCCGGGAGAGGGAUGCAGAAUUCCAGGUGUAGCGGUGAAAUGCGUAGAUAUCUGGAGGAAUACCGGUGGCGAAGGCGGCAUCCUGGACCGGCAUUGACGCUGAGGAGCGAAAGCUAGGGGAGCAAACGGG